UCGUCGUGCCUGCAAGGAAGAAGAAGCGGGGUUACCAAUCGUACAUGUACGCGCAUCGUCGGCCGAGCGACGCAGAGCUUGCUCGGAACCAAGAAGCAGCAGAUCGUAUUCUCCCUCCAGGUCCUACUAUCGAAAAGAUCCUUGCAAAGGAUGCACAAGUUCUUGAUCCGUAUGAGCAGAAGGUCAUUCACAUUGAAUAUGUCACCAUGAGACCCAAGAGUGGAUCUGAGUGGGAUUUUUGUUCCGCCUGCUAUUUUGGGGACGGCAAAAAACUCAGACAACACAAAGACGCUCUGGGGAAUCAUUUUGAUACCAAGCACGAUGAUGGUGGAGCAUGGGACAGGUGCCAAGUGUGUCAGGCCGUGUUUUACACUCAGCAGCUUAAGUGCCACUAUAAGUAUUGCCACCCGCACAUUGCAUUUGGUUAGGGAUUUGAAGCAGGUCUCAUCAUGAUCAUGCACGUGUCUCAAUCAGGAGAAGGCGUUUACAGUGGCUGGUGGUAGAGAAAAGCACAUGUUCUCCUAAAACAGCCCGUCAUUUUCUCGGAGAUGAUUUGUACAUCAGGAUGUUUCACCUUUUGGUUUUUCGUUUUCUCAUCUAGGAUCUAGGAGAAGAGAUAAUCUCAUAUUCAUUAGG